GCCACACACUCUUCAAUUUUUUCUAUUUUUUGAACUUUAACACUCACACUCUUCAUCUUCCUCACUCCCAUCUGCGUAACCAAGCCGUUGCAACCUUUUCUGAUUCUCCCUAACGUUGGCGACCGACCUUUUAACGUCAUAAAGUCUCAUUAGUGACAGAAAAAAUCAACAACCUAAGAGGUUUUACCACUAUAUAAACCGAUGGCAUGAUCCAGGUCCCAAACAGACCUCAUCAUAUCGUCCCAAUUUAGGAACCAUCCUUAUGACUUCUCAGAGCAAAAGAACUCCAGGUUUGUAUUAUUCCUUCAUUGUAGAUUCGUAUAAGUAUAUAGUCAAAGAAACGCUGAUUUUCAUGUUUACAUUUGUAAGUUUUGCGAGGAGGUUAUGUUGCAGUGAGAAAGUUUGUGUUGAGAACAACGUACGGUAGCUUGAUAUGUAGAUUGCACCGCCGAGAAAGAAAAAAAUAUUUACAAAGCAACGUGAUUUCAUGGUAGCAUGCUUAAACCCUAAUUAGUUUACUUUUCACUUUCUGAUUCCUUUCAUUAUUUAUUUUCUUCUAUUACUUAGGUCUUUUAUCAAAUUUUGUAUGUGUUUUCUGGGUCGUCUAUCAAAUUUUCUAUGUUAAGAAAUGGUCUCUGCGUUUUUUGUUCAAACCUUUUUCGGACAGUUAGAAACCAUCAGCGCCUGAGUAUAUAUAAUAAAUGGGCGCACUCACUCAUGUCUGUGAUUGUGUUUUGUAGGAGAAAUGUAUAUGUAUGACUGCAUCGAUAUUAUUGAACUGGUCACUCCACUGCCAUCUCCAAUAGCUUGAGUAGAAAAGGAUAUUCGGAGAUUUAUACAUCUAAAACUAUGGUGGUGUUCUGUGUUGUACAUCUCAGCAUCUGGAGAAAUAUAUAUUCACUGAAACGUCUUUGUUUGCAUGCCAAAGUGUAUUGUGUUUGUUUAUUUGCUUAUAUGGUUCAGGUGUACUAUAUUUAGCUCUGAAUAAGUUUUUAGGAUUUUUCCGUGCAGUUCUUCAACUAAUGUUGCUCAUACUUUGGUUUGUUAUCAGGUACCUCAAUAUUGACACAUCUGGAAGGUAAGCCCAGGUUCUGAUAUCUUAGCAAUAAAGAAAAGGUAGGCUUUUUUGUGAUGCUUCCUUUUGAUCUUUAAUUACUUACAAGAAAUUUAGACCAUAGUAACUGGGUUGUUAAGUUAAUCUAAUUGCUCUUUAGUUCAACCGUGGAUGUUAGUGUAUUCAAAUAUAAUCAUUUUUAAUUAGACAAUAGUCUUGAAAUAAUUUAUCACCUGUCUACUCUUUGUUUGAUUCCAAAAUUCGAAUUUGCGGUCUUCCAUAUGGGAUUCAUGUUGCUGUGGUGUGAUAAAUUGGUUCCAAUAUAUAUUAAAUUGUAUGGGAUCAGGCAUGUGCGGAAGAGGAGCUCAGACAGAGUCGGUGAAGCUGCAAACCAACAUGAAAAGAACAUAUGGUUACGGGAAG
rnacentral:lncRNA from 1 species